rnacentral:rRNA from 1 species
CCUUCAGUGCUGCAGCAAACGCAUUAAGCACUCCGCCUGGGNAGUACNACCGCANGGUUGAAACUCAAAGGANUUGACGGGGGCCCGCACAAGCGGNGGAGCAUGUGGUUUANUUCGAAGCANCGCGAANANCCUUACCAGGUCUUGACAUCCUUUGACCACUCUAGAGAUAGAGCUUUCCCUUCGGGGACAAAGUGACAGGGNGGUGCANGGUUGUCGUC